rnacentral:rRNA from 1 species
CCGUAAACGUGCAAUCUAGAGUGUUGGAGUCAUUUUACGUAUUGGGUACAGCAUCUAACGCACUAAUUUUCCCCGCCUGCGGAGUACGGCCGCAAGCCUAAAACUCAAAGGAAUUGACGAGGGACCGCACAAGCAGCGGAGCAUGUGGAUUAAUUUGACGCAACGCGAAGAACCUUASCAAGGCUUGACAUAUACCGGAAACAUCCAGAGAUGGGUGCCCCCUUGUGGUCGGUAUACAGGUGGUGCAUGGCUGUCGUCAGCUCGUGUCGUGAGAUGUUGGGUUAAGUCCCGCAACGAGCGCAACCCUUGUCCUGUGUUGCCAGCAUGCCCUUCGGGGUGAUGGGGACUCACAGGAGACCGCCGGGGUCAACUCGGAGGAAGGUGGGGACGACGUCAAGUCAUCAUGCCCCUUAUGUCUUGGGCUGCACACGUGCUACAAUGGCCGGUACAAAGAGCUGCGAUGCCGUGAGGCGGAGCGAAUCUCAAAAAGCCGGUCUCAGUUCGGAUUGGGGUCUGCAACUCGACCCCAUGAAGUCGGAGUUGCUAGUAAUCGCAGAUCAGCAUUGCUGCGGUGAAUACGUUCCCGGGCCUUGUACACACCGCCCGUCACGUCACGAAAGUCGGUAACACCCGAAGCCGGUGGCCCAACCCGUUGUGGGAGGGAGCUGUCGAAGGUGGGACUGGCGAUUGGGACGAAGUCGUAACAAAGGAGCCUCCCCGAAAGG